ACACUGGGGCAAAGCCACGAGCUGGAAAAUUCAACCUUUACAGCCCAGAGAAGCAUUUAUGAGCGUCUAUUCUAUGUGACUACAGCUCCACUAAGUGACACCAAACAAGAUUCCUGGAGGAAGGAAAACAGAGUGCAGCUGGCAGAGACUGAAGGAAGUGCUGCGGGCCUGGGGUGCCCAUCUGUUCACCUCGGAGCUUUGUAGACACUGCAGUCUUCUCGUCAUUGUUUACAUCUUUCUUCCUUUGUGCCAUUUUCAGACAGGUUGUGUCUCUUCCUCCAUUCAACACUGCUCUCUCAUGGAGGAUUUGACCAGCUACAUCACCUUUAUUUUAAAGCAGCUGCUGGUAGGAGUCGGAGAAGUUCCCUUGCAGAUUCUCCAAUUGCCAGCAGUGUUCAGGAAACCCCAGCCCAUGUGAACUCACCACUGCUCCUGCUUUUGCCACCUCGGCAGGGGAUGUGGAAGUCCCCAGGUGUGCUGCCUCCAAGCUCCAGAGACUGAUGUGAACAUCUGGUUUUCUGGAAACCAAGGUCAUGUCCUGUUUGACUUCAUGCUUCAUGUUUCAAAACUGAUGGAAUCACUGAUCCUAGAGGAGUCAUGUAGGACUGAGUUCUAAGUGUAAAGACAGUGGUUUUCCAACUCAAGUGUGCUUCCUGAGUAGGUGUGAAGUGAGCACUGGGCAUGUGCCUUUUAACCAGCUGGACUUGUAAUUCUCAUCCAAGUAUCUGGGGACCAAAAGCCUCUGCUUUUUAUUUGCCAGCACAGUUCUCCUAAAUGAUCAUUGGGCUGACCUAACUUGCAUCAGUGCUGACAAACAGGUGGAGUUAGGCUUUGACCAGCCAGGUUCUCAUUUGUAGCUGUGUGUCUUUGCCCCUCUCCUCUUGGCUGUAGAUGCAGAGGUCCUUGUAUUCUUUUUGACCCUGAAACUCUAGAAUAAAUGUAGGUACACUCAGGCAGCAUUCAUAUUUCAGGCUUAUUUUCUAAUUGUGAAAUAAAAGGCCUUGUUAGGUAUGGGAGUUACAAAGCAGAUGGGUAGAAUUUUCCAGAGGAAAGAACAACUAAGCUGCUAUUGACACCACAUCACUGAGAAGCGUCUCCCCUCUUUGACCUGAGCACUGGACCGAGGCAUUUGUCUUGCCGGGAGUACUCUUCAAACUCCUUCGAAAUAGCUUCAGUGGGUGCUGGGCAAAGCACUUUAAUUUCUGUUUUUUCCAUACAAGGGUGGGGCUGAGAAGAAGAGUGGGUGUGAAGGGAGGAAGCAAGUAGGCAAAACUGUGUGUCGAUAAGCAAGUUAGCCCCAAGUCCUGCCCGUCCUCCCUCCUGUCUCCCCUGAGAUUAUUAGAGAUGAAAAGAGACCUGAGAGACAUAGCAGUAAAAUGGCCACAGGUGGAUUUUGAUUCUGAUCUGAACAAACCAGCUGUAGCAAUUGGGGGAAAGUGGACAUGAAAUGGGUAUUAGGUAUUAUUAAGACAUUAUGAUAAAUUUUGUUGGGUAUGAUCAUAGCAUGGUGAUUUUGUUAAAACAAGUUCUUACAUGUUAGAGAUACAGAGGGAAGUACAUAUGGUGAAAUGAUAUGUUGUCUGUGAUUUGCUUCAAAAAAACUUCAGGAAAAAAAGGUGGAGAACAGUUAAAACAAGAACAGCCAAAUAUUGAUAAUAGUUGAAGCUGGGUGAUAGAUCCAUGGGAGCUCAUUUUAUUAUUCACUCUACUUUCAUACUUUUUUCCUACAAUAAAACGUUUUAAUAAUAAAAAAGGUUUUAGUGUAUAUGCAAAAAUAAAUUGUCGAAUGAGCAAAUACUAAGGAAGUAUCCUAUCUGUUUUGUUCUUCCUCUCUAGGACUACCUUUGUUCACUUCCCUUCUAGAAUAUUUCAUCAAAAUAGGCAUAGAAAAAGGACUGGCCUUCUUGCCAGUCCCCUUGCCUCUAGCCCCCUCCCUUCCAAUGCAUUGUGGUCUGAGUUACCCAACAGGCCAAUCCAGUCAUGUCGCUUUCCCUGCUCAAACAUCUUCCAUGGCUCCCUACUGUCUCCAGAAGAGAAGGCCAUUACUACGUUUUGACACACAUGACCUCUGUGAGCUGGUGCCUGGCUCCCUCACUUGCCUUCUCUCCUGCUUCUCUGCUGCCACAGUGGACUUCUUUUUAUGUCUGCUCACACGUCAGCUGUCUCCUGCCCCUAGCUCUGCUCUCUAUUCCCCCCCAUUCCUUCUUUGCCUGGCAAACUUCUACUCAUCCCUCAAGUCUCAUUCCUAACAUGAUGACCUAUGUGAGAAACAGCUUCCUCCCAAGUAGAUUUAGAUGCCCCUUUUUCUAUGCCUCUUGCUCACCCCUGCCCAGCCACGCUCUCUUUAGGAGUUCUGUUUCCUUCCUUGUGCUCUUCACCAUUGGUAAUUAUUCUGGUGUUUACUUGUCAUCUAUCUCCCCUGUAAGACUCUAUGCUCCAUGUAGACAGAAAUCAUACUGGAUGACUUCUAGGUAUGCUGGGCAUGUGGUGGGCACUCAGUAUUUGAUGUGUGAGUAAAUGAUCUUAUCAGAAUAACAAGCAGAUUGAUUAUAAUUGUUUAUACACCUGAUACUCCAUGAAAUGGUAUGUUCAUUAAGGACAGGACCCCACUUUUUAUCUUUGUAUCACCAAGCUUUUUAUCCAUUGCAUUUUCUGUACACUCAUCGAUGUCCAACUAAGGAAGGUUCUGUAAGACAAGUCUGCUUUUAAGUUGUCUUUUUUUAAAAGGGUAAAUAAAUUUGGUCUUUUUAUCUUGAAGUCAAAUUCCCCUAUAUUGAAGUCCUGUUAGAAGUGGAUGUAAUAAAGAAGUGGUAAAUUAAUGACUUCCUG
rnacentral:lncRNA from 1 species